GACGAGCGGCGGACGGGUGAGUAAUGUCUGGGAAACUGCCUGAUGGAGGGGGAUAACUACUGGAAACGGUAGCUAAUACCGCAUAACGUCGCAAGACCAAAGAGGGGGACCUUCGGGCCUCUUGCCAUCAGAUGUGCCCAGAUGGGAUUAGCUAGUAGGUGGGGUAACGGCUCACCUAGGCGACAAUCCCUAGCUGGUCUGAGAGGAUGACCACCCACACUGGAACUGAGACACGGUCCACACUCCUACGGGAGGCAGCAGUGGGGAAUAUUGCACAAUGGGCGCAAGCCUGAUGCACCCAUGCCGCGUGUAUGAAGAAAGCCUUCUGGUUGUAAAGUACUUUCAGCGGGGAGGAAGGCGAUGAGGUUAAUAACCUCGUCGAUUGACGUUACCCGCAAAAAAAACACCGGCUAACUCCGUGCCACCACCCGCGGUAAUACGGAGGGUGCGAGCGUUAAUCUGAAUUACUGGGCGUAAAGCGCACGCAGGCGGUCUGUCAAGUCGGAUGUGAAAUCCCCGGGCUCAACCUGGGAACUGCAUUCUAAACUGGCAGGCUAGAGUCUUGUAGAGGGGGGUAGAAUUCCAGGUGUAUCGGUGAAAUGCGUAUAGAUCUGGAGGAAUACCGGUGGCGAAAGCGGCCCCCUGGACAAAGACUGACACUCACGUGCGAAAGCGUGGGGA
rnacentral:rRNA from 1 species